rnacentral:rRNA from 1 species
CUCGGCGCUACCAUGCAGUCGACGGUAACAGGAAGCAGCUUGCUGCUUUGCUGACGAGUGGCGGACGGGUGAGUAAUGUCUGGGGAUCUGCCUGAUGGAGGGGGAUAACUACUGGAAACGGUAGCUAAUACCGCAUAACGUCGCAAGACCAAAGAGGGGGACCUUCGGGCCUCUUGCCAUCAGAUGAACCCAGAUGGGAUUAGCUAGUAGGUGGGGUAACGGCUCACCUAGGCGACGAUCCCUAGCUGGUCUGAGAGGAUGACCAGCCACACUGGAACUGAGACACGGUCCAGACUCCUACGGGAGGCAGCAGUGGGGAAUAUUGCACAAUGGGCGCAAGCCUGAUGCAGCCAUGCCGCGUGUAUGAAGAAGGCCUUCGGGUUGUAAAGUACUUUCAGCGAGGAGGAAGGUGGUGAGUUUAAUACGCUCAUCAAUUGACGUUACUCGCAGAAGAAGCACCGGCUAACUCCGUGCCAGCAGCCGCGGUAAUACGGAGGGUGUCCGAAACUGGCAGGCUUGAGUCUCGUAGAGGGGGGUAGAAUUCCAGGUGUAGCGGUGAAAUGCGUAGAGAUCUGGAGGAAUACCGGUGGCGAAGGCGGCCCCCUGGACGAAGACUGACGCUCAGGUGCGAAAGCGUGGGGAGCAAACAGGAUUAGAUACCCUGGUAGUCCACGCCGUAAACGAUGUCGACUUGGAGGUUGUUCCCUUGAGGAGUGGCUUCCGGAGCUAACGCGUUAAGUCGACCGCCUGGGGAGUACGUAGAAUUCCAGGUGUAGCGGUGAAAUGCGUAGAGAUCUGGAGGAAUACCGGUGGCGAAGGCGGCCCCCUGGACGAAGACUGACGCUCAGGUGCGAAAGCGUGGGGAGCAAACAGGAUUAGAUACCCUGGUAGUCCACGCCGUAAACGAUGUCGACUUGGAGGUUGUUCCCUUGAGGAGUGGCUUCCGGAGCUAACGCGUUAAGUCGACCGCCUGGGGAGUACGGCCGCAAGGUUAAAACUCAAAUGAAUUGACGGGGGCCCGCACAAGCGGUGGAGCAUGUGGUUUAAUUCGAUGCAACGCGAAGAACCUUACCUGGCCUUGACAUCCACGGAAUUUGGCAGAGAUGCCUUAGUGCCUUCGGGAACCGUGAGACAGGUGCUGCAUGGCUGUCGUCAGCUCGUGUUGUGAAAUGUUGGGUUAAGUCCCGCAACGAGCGCAACCCUUAUCCUUUGUUGCCAGCGAUUCGGUCGGGAACUCAAAGGAGACUGCCGGUGAUAAACCGGAGGAAGGUGGGGAUGACGUCAAGUCAUCAUGGCCCUUACGGCCAGGGCUACACACGUGCUACAAUGGCGUAUACAAAGAGAAGCGACCUCGCGAGAGCAAGCGGACCUCAUAAAGUACGUCGUAGUCCGGAUUGGAGUCUGCAACUCGACUCCAUGAAGUCGGAAUCGCUAGUAAUCGUGGAUCAGAAUGCCACGGUGAAUACGUUCCCGGGCCUUGUACACACCGCCCGUCACACCAUGGGAGUGGGUUGCAAAAGAAGUAGGUAGCUUAACCUUCGGGAGGGCGCUUACCACUUUGUGAUUC